GCGUCCGAUUAGCUUGUUGGCGGGGUAACGGCCCACCAAGGCUACGAUCGGUAGGGGUUCUGAGAGGAAGGCCCCCCACAAUGGGACUGAGACACGGCCCAUACUCCUACGGGAGGCAGCAGUGAGGAAUAUUGGUCAAUGGGCGGAAGCCUGAACCAGCCAUGCCGCGUGCGGGAAGGAGGCCCCAUGGGCUGUGAACCGCUUUUGCCUGGGGGCAAUAAGGGCGUCGCGCACGUCCGAUGAGAGUACCAGGCGAAUAAGCAUCGGCUAACUCCGUGCCAGCAGCCGCGGUAAUACGGGGGAUGCGAGCGUUAUCCGGAUUCAUUGGGUUUAAAGGGUGCGUAGGCUGUGCGUCAAGUCGGGGGUGAAAUUCCGGUGCUCAACACCGGGGCUGCCCUUGAUACUGUCGCGCUGGAGUGCGGAUGCCGCCGGAGGAAUGAGUGGUGUAGCGGAGAAAUGCUUAGAUAUCACUCAGAACACCGAUUGCGAAGGCAUCUGGCGAAUCCGUAACUGACGCUGAGGCACGAAAGCGUGGGGAUAGAACAGGAUUAGAUACCCUGGUAUUCCACGCCGUAAACGAUGAUGGCUAACCGCCGGCGACACACUGUCGGUGGCCAAGCGAAAGCGAUAAGCCAUCCACCUGGGGAGUACGUCGGCAACGAUGAAACUCAAAGGAAUUGACGGGGGCCCGCACAAGCGGAGGAACAUGUGGUUUAAUUCGAUGAUACGCGAGGAACCUUACCCGGGCUCGAACGGCACCUGGAUCACCCAGAGAUGGGCGAGUCUUCGGACAGGUGUCGAGGUGCUGCAUGGUUGUCGUCAGCUCGUGCCGUGAGGUGUCGGCUCAAGUGCCAUAACGAGCGCAACCCUUGCCGCCAGUUGCCAUCAGGUGAUGCUGGGCACUCUGGCGGGACUGCCACCGCUAGGUGUGAGGAGGGGGGGGAUGACGUCAAAUCAGCACGGCCCUUACGUCCGGGGCGACACACGUGUUACAAUGGCGGCCACAGAGGGAAGCUACCCCGCGAGGGGAUGCGGAUCUCGAAAAGCCGUCCCAGUUCGGACUGGAGUCUGCAACCCGACUCCACGAAGUUGGAUUCGCUAGUAAUCGCGCAUCAGCCAUGGCGCGGUGAAUACGUUCCCGGGCCUUGUACACACCGCCCGUCAAGCCAUGGAAGCCGCGGGCGCCUGAAGUCCGUGACC
rnacentral:rRNA from 1 species